rnacentral:rRNA from 1 species
UACGGGGGGGGCAAGCGUUGUUCGGAAUUACUGGGCGUAAAGGGCGCGUAGGCGGCUUUUCAAGUCAGGGGUGAAAUCCGGCAGCUCAACUGUCGAAGUGCCCUUGAUACUGAUGAGCUCGAGGGAGGUAGGGGUGUGUGGAACUUCCGGUGGAGCGGUGAAAUGCGUUGAUAUCGGAAGGAACGCCGGUGGCGAAAGCGACGCACUGGACCUCUUCUGACACUGAGGCGCGAAAGCCAGGGGAGCAAACGGG